rnacentral:rRNA from 1 species
AACGAACGCUGGCGGCAGGCUUAACACAUGCAAGUCGAACGCCCCGCAAGGGGAGUGGCAGACGGGUGAGUAACGCGUGGGAACAUACCCUUUCCUGCGGAGUAGCUCUGGGAAGCUGGAAUUAAUACCGCAUACGCCCUACGGGGGAAAGAUUUAUCGGGGAAGGAUUGGCCCGCGUUGGAUUAGCUAGUUGGUGGGGUAAAGGCCUACCAAGGCGACGAUCCAUAGCUGGUCUGAGAGGAUGAUCAGCCACAUUGGGACUGAGACACGGCCCAAACUCCUACGGGAGGCAGCAGUGGGGAAUAUUGGACAAUGGGCGCAAGCCUGAUCCAGCCAUGCCGCGUGAGUGAUGAAGGCCUUAGGGUUGUAAAGCUCUUUCACCGAUGAAGAUAAUGACGGUAGUCGGAGAAGAAGCCCCGGCUAACUUCGUGCCAGCCGCCGCGGUAAUAC